rnacentral:rRNA from 1 species
UACAGAGGGGCAAGCGUUAUUCGGAAUUAUUGGGCGUAAAGGGCGCGUAGGCGGCCUGGCAAGUGGAAGGUGAAAUCCCUCGGCUUAACCGAGGAACUGCCUCCCAAACUGCUUGGCUCGAGACCGGGAGAGGUGAGUGGAAUUCCCAGUGUAGCGGUGAAAUGCGUAGAUAUUGGGAGGAACACCAGUGGCGAAGGCGGCUCACUGGACCGGUACUGACGCUGAUGCGCGAAAGCGUGGGAGCAAACGGG